AGGAUCACGGAUAAGUGUGGAACUUUAGAGACCUUAAAUGUAUCUGAUGCACUCUAUGGACUGAUGGUACGGAUUCUACUCUACGUCAGAGAAAGGCGGGUAACUGCUGCUCCCUCGCGCUGGUAUAACGCUUUUUGCGCCACUGUCGACCGGAGGCAACACGGAGGGGGUGUAAUAACGACGUGGACAGUUUACUGCUAACGGUAGGCUGUUUCGUUGCCCGGUUCCAGACUUUUCAUCUUGCUGGUUCCACAGUUUCAUUCCAAGCAACAGCGCCAAGUUACGCAAAGUAAGACUAAACUGUCCCAGACCACAGCUUAUGUAA